rnacentral:lncRNA from 10 species
AAUUUCAUGGGCCAUAGAAGAUGCUAGUGAAGCCUUUGCUGGACUCACAAGUCUCACUAAACUAAUCUUACAAGGAAACCAGAUUAAGUCAAUUACAAAGAAAGCAUUCAUUGGUCUUGAAUCCCUUGAGCAUCUAGAUUUGAACAAUAAUGCUAUAAUGUCUAUCCAAGAAAAUGCUUUUUCUCAGACUCAUUUAAAAGAACUUUACGGUGCUGUGACUCCGAUAGGAUCAGAUUCAUCAUUGGACCCCCAGACCUCUCACCCAGGACCCCAAGUGUGCACCUUUGAAGCCAUUGUCUUCACUCCUGACUGAUAGAUCGGGGAUCCAAUGGAUUCUGAACACAAGCAGUUUGCUCUGUGACUGCCAUUUGAAGUGGCUACUUCAAUGGUUGGUUGAUAAUAACUUUCAACAUUCUGUGAAUGUAAGCUGUGCACACCCUGAAUGGCUAGCAGGGCAAAGCAUCCUGAAUGUGGAUCUGAAAGAUUUUGUCUGUGGUUUGUAUUUUUGUUUUAAAAUUUUAUAUAUUACACACUUAUAAUCUUAACAGAAUUAAAAAAAUUAAA